rnacentral:rRNA from 2 species
GGCUCAGGACGAACGCUGGCGGCGUGCCUAAUACAUGCAAGUCGAACGAACUCUGGUAUUGAUUGGUGCUUGCAUCAUGAUUUACAUUUGAGUGAGUGGCGAACUGGUGAGUAACACGUGGGAAACCUGCCCAGAAGCGGGGGAUAACACCUGGAAACAGAUGCUAAUACCGCAUAACAACUUGGACCGCAUGGUCCGAGUUUGAAAGAUGGCUUCGGCUAUCACUUUUGGAUGGUCCCGCGGCGUAUUAGCUAGAUGGUGGGGUAACGGCUCACCAUGGCAAUGAUACGUAGCCGACCUGAGAGGGUAAUCGGCCACAUUGGGACUGAGACACGGCCCAAACUCCUACGGGAGGCAGCAGUAGGGAAUCUUCCACAAUGGACGAAAGUCUGAUGGAGCAACGCCGCGUGAGUGAAGAAGGGUUUCGGCUCGUAAAACUCUGUUGUUAAAGAAGAACAUAUCUGAGAGUAACUGUUCAGGUAUUGACGGUAUUUAACCAGAAAGCCACGGCUAACUACGUGCCAGCAGCCGCGGUAAUACGUAGGUGGCAAGCGUUGUCCGGAUUUAUUGGGCGUAAAGCGAGCGCAGGCGGUUUUUUAAGUCUGAUGUGAAAGCCUUCGGCUCAACCGAAGAAGUGCAUCGGAAACUGGGAAACUUGAGUGCAGAAGAGGACAGUGGAACUCCAUGUGUAGCGGUGAAAUGCGUAGAUAUAUGGAAGAACACCAGUGGCGAAGGCGGCUGUCUGGUCUGUAACUGACGCUGAGGCUCGAAAGUAUGGGUAGCAAACAGGAUUAGAUACCCUGGUAGUCCAUACCGUAAACGAUGAAUGCUAAGUGUUGGAGGGUUUCCGCCCUUCAGUGCUGCAGCUAACGCAUUAAGCAUUCCGCCUGGGGAGUACGGCCGCAAGGCUGAAACUCAAAGGAAUUGACGGGGGCCCGCACAAGCGGUGGAGCAUGUGGUUUAAUUCGAAGCUACGCGAAGAACCUUACCAGGUCUUGACAUACUAUGCAAAUCUAAGAGAUUAGACGUUCCCUUCGGGGACAUGGAUACAGGUGGUGCAUGGUUGUCGUCAGCUCGUGUCGUGAGAUGUUGGGUUAAGUCCCGCAACGAGCGCAACCCUUAUUAUCAGUUGCCAGCAUUAAGUUGGGCACUCUGGUGAGACUGCCGGUGACAAACCGGAGGAAGGUGGGGAUGACGUCAAAUCAUCAUGCCCCUUAUGACCUGGGCUACACACGUGCUACAAUGGAUGGUACAACGAGUUGCGAACUCGCGAGAGUAAGCUAAUCUCUUAAAGCCAUUCUCAGUUCGGAUUGUAGGCUGCAACUCGCCUACAUGAAGUCGGAAUCGCUAGUAAUCGCGGAUCAGCAUGCCGCGGUGAAUACGUUCCCGGGCCUUGUACACACCGCCCGUCACACCAUGAGAGUUUGUAACACCCAAAGUCGGUGGGGUAACCUUUUAGGAACCAGCCGCCUAAGGUGGGACAGAUGAUUAGGG